rnacentral:rRNA from 1 species
GAUGAACGCUGGCGGCGUGCCUAAUACAUGCAAGUAGAACGCUGAAGGAAGGAGCUUGCUCUUUCCGGAUGAGUUGCGAACGGGUGAGUAACGCGUAGGUAACCUGCCUGGUAGCGGGGGAUAACUAUUGGAAACGAUAGCUAAUACCGCAUAACAGUAGAUGUUGCAUGAUAUCUACUUAAAAGGUGCAAUUGCACCACUACCAGAUGGACCUGCGUUGUAUUAGCUAGUUGGUGAGGUAACGGCUCACCAAGGCGACGAUACAUAGCCGACCUGAGAGGGUGAUCGGCCACACUGGGACUGAGACACGGCCCAGACUCCUACGGGAGGCAGCAGUAGGGAAUCUUCGGCAAUGGACGGAAGUCUGACCGAGCAACGCCGCGUGAGUGAAGAAGGUUUUCGGGUCGUAAAGCUCUGUUGUAAGAGAAGAACGAGUGUGAGAGUGGAAAGUUCACACUGUGACGGUAUCUUACCAGAAAGGGACGGCUAACUACGUG